UACGAACCGUGCGAACGUUGUUCGGAAUCACUGGGCUUAAAGGGCGCGUAGGCGGGUAUGCAAGUCUGUGGUGAAAGCCUCCAGCUUAACUGGAGAAGUGCCGUGGAUACUGCACAUCUUGAGGAGGGUAGGGGCAUCUGGAACGGUCGGUGGAGCGGUGAAAUGCGUUGAUAUCGACCGGAACUCCGGUGGCGAAGGCGAGGUGCUGGACCCUUUCUGACGCUGAGGCGCGAAAGCCAGGGGAGCAAACGGG
rnacentral:rRNA from 1 species